UCCGGGCUGGAAACAAUCUCCUUUCCCAGUGACUUUUGCACGGAAGUACUUGCCAAUACGUGGUGGCAAGCCUCGCAGACAGGCUGGAGAACGCUUAGACGUCUGGGCUCCGCAGCAGAAAGAGUCAUUGUUGCCUGUUCGUGACAACCUUCCCGGGAACUCCGGAGCCGCCUCAGAGGAAAUGAGAGAAGGAAAUGCCCAUGUCCUUAUGCGGAGCCCAGUUCAGAGGGGCUGAGUCAGGACCCAGGUCUGUGGCUCAGACUCCACAGCAGUUUUAACCCCCUGCCUGGACCUGCGUCAGAAGGUCCGUAAUUGGAAUGAGGGCAGGUGUCCAGCCUGCACCCAACUCGGGAGGCACACAGCCGGGAUGUGGUGUGGAUGACUCCCGACACAGAAAUGUUAUUCUGACUAUUAUAGACUCUAAAAAGAAAAAUAAAAAGUAGAUGGGGCAGGAUCUCGAGAAAGGCUUAAUUCUGCUUUUAAGAAUU